rnacentral:rRNA from 1 species
GAUGAACGCUGGCGGCGUGCCUAAUACAUGCAAGUCGAGCGAACAGACGAGGAGCUUGCUCCUCUGACGUUAGCGGCGGACGGGUGAGCAUCACGUGGAUAACCUACCUAUAAGACUGGGAUAACUUCGGGAAACCGGAGCUAAUACCGGAUAAUAUAUUGAACCGCAUGGUUCAAUAGUGAAAGACGGUUUUGCUGUCACUUAUAGAUGGAUCCGCGCCGCAUCAGCUAGUUGGUAAGGUAACGGCUUACCAAGGCAACGAUGCGUAGCCGACCUGAGAGGGUGAUCGGCCACACUGGAACUGAGACACGGUCCAGACUCCUACGGGAGGCAGCAGUAGGGAAUCUUCCGCAAUGGGCGAAAGCCUGACGGAGCAACGCCGCGUGAGUGAUGAAGGUCUUCGGAUCGUAAAACUCUGUUAUUAGGGAAGAACAAAUGUGUAAGUAACUAUGCACGUCUUGACGGUACCUAAUCAGAAAGCCACGGCUAACUACGUG